rnacentral:rRNA from 1 species
CAAUAGCGUAUAUUAAAGUUGUUGCAGCUAAAAAGCUCGUAGUUGGAUUUCGGGGCAGCCUGGCUGGUCCGCCGCAAGGCGAGUACUGGUCAGCCGCCCUUCCUCUCGAAAGCCCCGACUGCUCUUUAUUGCAGUGGUCGGGUAGUUCGGGACGUUUACUUUGAAAAAAUUAGAGUGUUCAAGGCAGGCCUACGCCUGAAUACAUUAGCAUGGAAUAAUGGAAGAGGACCUCGGUCCUAUUUUGUUGGUUUCCAGGACCGAAGUAAUGAUUAAGAGGGACAGUUGGGGGCAUUCGUAUUUAAUUGUCAGAGGUGAAAUUCUCGGAUUUAUGAAAGACGAACAACUGCGAAAGCAUUUGCCAAGGAUGUUUUCAUUAA